UACGUAGGGGGCUAGCGUUGUCCGGAAUCAUUGGGCGUAAAGAGCGUGUAGGCGGUCCGGUAAGUCCGCUGUGAAAGUCGGGGGCUCAACCCUCGAAUGCCGGUGGAUACUGUCGGGCUAGAGUGCGGAAGAGGCGAGUGGAAUUCCUGGUGUAGCGGUGAAAUGCGCAGAUAUCAGGAGGAACACCUAUUGCGAAGGCAGCUCGCUGGGACGUACUGACGCUGAAGCGCGAAAGCCAGGGGAGCGAACGGG
rnacentral:rRNA from 1 species